AUCCGCCAAAGCGGCUAAUCGGCUACGAUACGCGAAAGCAGCCAAAGAAAUAUUCCGCUUCCGGUAUACAGCCGACGAUGUAGGCGAAGCAGCGCAAUUAGCCGGCAAAGGGAGCAAUAAAAGUAUCGUUAAUCCUUCGAAGCCGCUUCCAACCAUGCGACAAUUGCGCCGGCUAGAGAUAAACCUUGCGGAGAUUCCUCUUGGAAUCAUGGUGUGUUCACAAUUGUAUGUUACUUCUGUGUUUUUCCUCGUGGCAGUGCAAUAUCAGUGGAAAAUAGCAAACGGAGGGAAUUGUUACAAUGGUGUUGGUACUUUUUUUGUUCCUUUUUUCGGUCGUGUUCUUGUCAAGAUGGAUCGCAGGUGGAAUAAUGGAUUUAGCAAGGGGUUGUUUGUCGAGUCAGCGAGCCGGUAGUAGCGGGCGUGGCCAUUCGGAAUCCAGGGAAAUGUUGUCCGAUCGGCAACUACAACGGAUCGUCACCGAGGGAACAUUCCAACAUGCUCGCAAUUGCGCCAGCUCGCGGAUUACAAGGAAAAUCACGGCCCCAGGUCCUGGUCAGAUUCUGUUGCGAAAGCAAACACGCGUUUCUGUUAUUCUAUCAACUGCGAACCAACGGCCCAUAUGUAUAAGCAGGGCUGCCCGAUAUUUUAUUGACCCUUUUCCAGCUUAAAUACACAACCGGCGAAAACAAGUAGACACGUCGUGCCCGGUUGCGUUUCAUCGCGGUUCAACUGAUAUCCUACGUGGAAUUAUUGGAGAGAGAACAAAAGGAAAAACGCAAUGCCUGUUUCGAUUAAUGGCUCGCUGCUAUAAAUAUUUUGUUUAAUAAUGUAUACACA
rnacentral:misc_RNA from 1 species